CGCCUCGGUAUACAAAUUUCGAAUCGAGAUUAAGUUUAAUCUACACCUUAAAAGCAUAGUGUGUUGCGAAAAAACGGGUGACGUCACGGUGUAAGGUGCGCGUCCGACGAGCUGACGUCACUAAUCUCUGACAGCACUUCCUGGAGUGGGGUUUGUUGUGGGAAACACCGACGCCGUGUUGGCCGACACGGGCUUCCUCAACGCCACGGCAGCAGCAGCAGCAGCAGCAGCAGCAGCAGCACGCCAAAGGCACCCAGAGAUUCACCCUUGAGUGAUGUCGCCGUUUUCCAACGGUACCACAUAGACGCCACCGAUCACGGAGGAGCGGAACGCGAGGAUAGAUCCGUCCCCGGGAAGCCCAGAGAGCUGCAGACAGCCUGUGCUGUCGCAAUGUUGUGAGCCAUGGACAGCAGAAUAAAAGAGAACCCUGAACGAACCUUUGAUUUAGUUCUACAGGUGGCCUGCCCCAAAUCUGCAAAUGAAGUCGCUCCUGUCCUAUACUGCCAUCGGAGGCCACUGCUUAAAGAGUGUCACUUGGUUAAUAUUGAGCCUCCUAAUGAAGUUGUUGGCUGAGUGGGUGUGUCUCCGGAUUAAGAAUGAAGGCGCGGUAUCGGCUGGCCAUGGCUGUGCUCAUGCUGCCUAUUGUCCUUCUGUUUACCUUAAUAACAGGAUGGCUCAGCAGUUAUGAUUCACCAGUACACAACGUCGAGGAUACUGGUUUGAUCUGCCUUGAUCCCCAGGAUAAAUUUUGCCUUUGGUAUUUGAACAGUAUUCAAAUAAAAUAAUCCAUUCCCAACACCAUGUCCCGUAAAAUAACAUUUCAGAAAAAUAUUCAUUAUUAAAUUAUUAUUAUUAUUAUUUGUUUUUUGAAGCAAGCAAGUUUGUCUCUGUUCUGCAGACCA